rnacentral:pre_miRNA from 1 species
UGAAUAUACAGCAUUGGACAGAAUAAUAUGUAAAUGCGCAUCAAUUUGCUAAGUAGUUCAACCGAUUUUGAAAAGGCAUCAAAAUCACAUUAUUUUGUCCAAUGCUGUAUGUA